CAAGGUGGACUUCAGUGUUUGCUUGGCUGUCACGCUGACCGGGUGGAGUGUCAAUACUAGCACUAUAAUUAUUUUACUGUAAUAUUACGUUUUCAAGACAAUACAGCGAUACAGUUUAUGUUCUUACGGCUUAUUACCGCAGUCUGCACAGCGUCUGGAGUGUGGCUGGCCUUUUCCAGCUCAUGGGGACCAGGAAGAAACAAGCAACCCACGUCCGCUGAUCGGCGGUGACGAGGAGCAGAAGCACCUAGCCAGUGCAGAUUUUCCACGUCAACGAAGAGAGAGGAAGUAAGGUAUUGCCACAUCCAUUCCAGUCUGGAGCAGGGAGCGAGCAGGGAGCCAGCCAGUUUAUUGAGGAGCGUCAUUCUACCCUUUACAAGUUUACGUUCACGUCUGAUGGAGUGGGAGCGUUGAGAGGACUAUUCUGGCGUCCGGAACGACUUCUCCAGGCGGCUACAAAUCUCACACCGAACAAGAUUUGAAGUAGUUGCGAGGUGAGGUUUCGGUUCAGAGUUUCCUGUGAUGCUAUAUCAGGAUCAGCUCAGAAGCAAUGCUCAGGUAGCAGGUAGUGUUAGUCACUGUCAUAUCUCCUCCGUUUUAUCGCACGCAAUAUUGCAAGUUUUAUCGCACGCAAUAUUGCAAGUGAACUAUGUACCAAUCAGCAGACGUAAUCUUAAAACCACUCCUCAUUUCAUCCAGGCUUUAUAUCAUCAAGCAAUGCAUAUUUAUUAUGUAGCAUAGUUAUUUACCGUUAUAUUCUUUUCCGGAUUUGCUGCUCUUUUUAAGUCUGGUAUCUAGUGGAAAGUGAUCUGACGUAAUAUGAACGGUGGUGUGCUGUCGUGAUUCCUAGUCCCGAGCCUAUUCAGUGUCUCAACAACGGACACGGGCACUUCGAUGGUUUGCCCGUGGUUUUCUCGUCUAUAACGUCAUCUACACUCGUGACUGCCAUCCACACACAAAAUUGGUAACAGUGUCUGCCCGCCGUGCAUUUGCCCGCCGUGUGGACGGGCCUUUAGGAUACGUAGAGUAAGAGCAUAUACUCAUAAGGAGAUGGGUUGGUUUUAUAUGGAUACAUGGAAAUAAGUUGUGAAAAUCUGUGUACACAAGAUUUCAUUUACUGGGUUGGUCGGCAUCUGAUAAAAUGUGUUGUAUAAUGUUCCAUGUAUUGAGUGUGUGACAAAUGCUUAUUAGAUGAGUGUGUGUGAUAUAAGUGUUGCUACUACUACCUGGUGUGUAAUGUUCUAUGUAUUGAGUGUGUGACAAAUGCGUAUUAGAUGAGUGAGUGUGAUAUAUAAGUGUUACACACGCUACCUGGACAGUUUACUGUUUCAAUCUUACUGUUUCAGAUUGUAGUUAGUAGUUUUUGUCAGUUUUGUGAGGGCCUGGUGUUCUGAUGUUUCUGGCAGGAGUGAAUGUAUGGAAAAAUUUACCCGCCGCCAUUCAUAUGCCAAAUUUCAAUCCUCAUCAUCAUUAACCGAUCUUUAUCCCAUUUUUUCAGUCUGUUCAUUUUUGGUAUCAAUAAAAUAAUAAGUAAAUGGAGAA